rnacentral:lncRNA from 1 species
AGUUGUGGUUCGCCUCCUGCUCGACCACGGUGACGAUCCUCGGCCGCACGGCGCGCACCGUGCCCAGGACCUUCUCGAGGGCGCCGGGCUGCGCGAGGAGCCGGUGCAUCUCGAAGACUGAGUUCACGGCGAUUACCUCGGGCUCCUCGUUAGGGUCCUCCUCGCCCUCCGGCUGCAGCAUGAACGGCUCCAGGUCCGCGAGCGUGGCGGCGACGAGGCCGCGAUACUGGAAGUCGACGCGGAUGGUGUGCGCGAACUGGGCGAGCUUCCAGCCCACCUGCUGCAGG